GUAUUGGCCUACCGUGGCGAUGACGGGUAACGGGGAAUUAGGGUUCGAUUCCGGAGAGGGAGCCUGAGAAACGGCUACCACAUCUAAGGAAGGCAGCAGGCGCGCAAAUUACCCAAUCCUAAUACAGGGAGGUAGUGACAAGAAAUAACAAUACAGGACUUUUUGGUUUUGUAAUUGGAAUGAGUUAAGUAUAAACCCCUUUACAAGUAUCAAUUGGAGGGCAAGUCUGGUGCCAGCAGCCGCGGUAAUUCCAGCUCCAAUAGCGUAUAUUAAAGUUGUUGCAGUUAAAAAGCUCGUAGUUGGAUUUCUGUUAAUAAUUUAUAUAAAAUAUUUUGAAUAUUUAUAUAACAUUAACAUAAUUCAUAUUACUAUAUUUUUUAGUAUAUGAAAUUUUACUUUGAGAAAAUUAGAGUGCUUAAAGCAGGCAUAUGCCUUGAAUACUCCAGCAUGGAAUAAUAUUAAAGAUUUUUAUCUUUUUUAUUGGUUCUAAGAUAAGAAUAAUGAUUAAUAGGGACAGUUGGGGGUAUUUGUAUUUAA
rnacentral:rRNA from 1 species